GCCAGUGUGGCUUAAUGUUUUGAGCAUUGGACUAUGACUCCGGAGACGAGGGUUCGACUCCUGGCUCCGCCA